rnacentral:misc_RNA from 1 species
GAUGAAGAACGUAGCGAAAUGCGAUAAGUAAUGCGAAUUGCAGAAUUCCAGUGAGUCAUCGAAUCUUUGAACGCACAUUGCGCCCUUUGGCCAUUCCGAAGGGCAUGCCUGUUUGAGUAUCAUGAACACCUCAACUCUUCAUGGUUUUCCGUGAUGAGCUUGGACUUUGGGGGUCUUGCUGGCCUAUGGUCAGCUCCUCUAAAAUAAAUCAGCUUGCCAGUGUUUGGUGGGUAUCACAGGUGUGAUAACUAUCUACGCUUGUGGUUUUCCACCAGGUAACCUUCAGCAGUGGAGGUUCGCUGGAGCUCACAGAUGUGUCUCUCCUCAGUGAGGACAGCUCUUUGAAUGUUUGAUCUCAAAUCAGGUAGGACUACCCGCUGAACUUAAGCAUAUCAAUAAGCGGAUGA